AUCAAGCUAAAGAGUCCCAAAUAGGACGAAACGCGCGUUUCUUCUAU
rnacentral:hammerhead_ribozyme from 1 species